GAUCAUGGCUCAGGAUGAACGCUAGCUACAGGCUUAACACACGCAAGUCGAGGGGCAGCAUGAACUUAGCUUGCUAAGUUUGAUGGCGACCGGCGCACGGGUGAGUAACACGUAUCCAACCUUCCGUUUACUCAGGGAUAGCCUUUCGAAAGAAAGAUUAAUACCUGAUGGUAUGGUGAGAUUGCAUGAUAGCACCAUUAAAGAUUUAUUGGUAAACGAUGGGGAUGCGUUCCAUUAGG
rnacentral:rRNA from 1 species